rnacentral:rRNA from 1 species
AGUAACGCGUGGGUAACCGUGCCUCAUACAGGGGGAUAACAGUUAGAAAUGACUGCUAAUACCGCAUAAGCGCACAGUGCUGCAUGGCACAGUGUGAAAAACUCCGGUGGUAUGAGAUGGACCCGCGUCUGAUUAGCUAGUUGGUGGGGUAACGGCCUACCAAGGCGACGAUCAGUAGCCGACCUGAGAGGGUGACCGGCCACAUUGGGACUGAGACACGGCCCAA